rnacentral:tRNA from 1 species
AUUUAAAUAGUUUAUUAAAAUAUUGAUUUGUGAUAUCAAAGUUAUACUAAUGUAUUUUAGAUA